rnacentral:snRNA from 1 species
GCGCUCGCUUCGGCAGCACACAUACUAAAAUUGGAACGAUACGGAGAAGAUUAGCAUGGCCCCUGCACAAGGAUGACACGCAAAUUCGUGAAAUGUUCCAUAUUUUU